GGGCAUGAUCAUACCAGCACUAAUGCACCGGAUGCCAUAAACACUCCACAGUUAAGUGCGGUUGGGCGAGAGUAGUACUAGGAUGGGUGACCUCCGGGGAAAUCCUCGUGUUGCACCCC
rnacentral:rRNA from 1 species